UGUGAAUCUGUAGGUUGACUGUAGUUCCUUAAUGGAGUGUGAUUCUGUAGGUUGACUGUGGUACUUAUUGGGAGUAUGAUUCUGUAGGUUGACUGUGGUACUUAAUGGGAAUGUGAUUCUGUAGGUUGCCUGUGAUAUUUACUGGGAGUGUGAUUCUGUAGGUUGACUGUGGUAUACUUACUGGGAGGUUGACUGUGGUACUAAAUGGGAGUGUGAUUCUGUAGGUUGACUGUGGUACUAACUGGGAGUGCGAUUCUGUAGGUUGACUGUGUAACUUAUUGGGAAUGUAAUUCUGUAGGUUGACUAUGGUAUACUUAGUGGGAGUGUGAUUCUGUAGGCUGACUGUGGUACUUACUGGUAGUGUGAUUCUUUAGGCAGACUGUGGUACUUACUGGGAGUGUGGUUCUGUAGGCUGUCUGUGGUAUACUUACUGGGAGUGUGGGUCUGUAGGCUGACUGUGGUAUACUUACUUGGAGUGUGGGUCUGUAGGUUGACUGUGGUAUACUUACUGGGAGUGUUGGUCUGUAGGCUGACUGUGGUAUACUUACUGUGAGUGUGAUUAUAUAGGUUGACUGUGGUAUUGACUGGGAGUGUGAUUCUGUAGGUUGACUGUGUUACUUAUUGGGAAUGUUAUUCUGUAGGUUGACUAUGGUAUACUUACUCGAAGAGUGAUUAUGUAGGUUGUCUGUGGUAUACUUACUGGGAGGUUGACUGUGGUACUAACUUGGAGUGUGAUUUUGUAGGUUGACUGUGGUACUUACUGGAAGUGUUAUUCUGUAGGUUGACUGUGGUACUAACUGGGAGUGUUGAUCUGUAGGCUGACUGUGGUAUAAUUAUUGUGAGUGUGAUUAUAUAGGUUGACUGUGGUAUUUACUGAGAGUGUGAUUCUGUAGGUUGACUGUGGUACUUACUGGGAGUGUGAUUCUGUAGGUUGAAUGUGGUACUAACUGUGAGUGUGGGUCUGUAGGUUGACUGUGGUAUACUUACUCGGGGUGUUGGUCUGUAGGCUGACUGUGGUAUACUUAUUCGGAGUGUUGGUCUAUAGUCGGGCUGUGGUAGUAACUGUGAGUGUGGGUCUGUAGGUUGACUGUGGUACUUACUGGGAGUGUAGGUCUUUAGGUUGACUUUGGUACUGACUGGGAGUGUGGGUCUGUAGGUUGACUGUGGUACUGACAGGGAUUGUGGGUCAUUAUGUUGACUUUGGUACUGACUGGGAGUGUGAUUAUGAAGGUUGACUGUGAUACUUACUGGGAGUGUGAUUCUGUAGGUUGACUAUAGUUCCUUAAUGGGAGUGUGAUUCUGUAGGUUGACUGUGGUACUUAAUGGGGGGGGUGAUUCUGUAGGUUGACUGUGGGACUUAUUGGGAAUGUGAUACUGUUGGCUGUUUGCGGUACUUACUGGGAGUGUGGUUCUGUAGGCUGUCUGUGGUAUACUUACUGGGAGUGUGGGUCUGUAGGUUGACUGUGGUACCUACUGGGAGUGUGGGUCUGUAGGUUGACUGUGGUACCUACUGGGAGUGUGGGUCUGUAGGUUGACU